rnacentral:misc_RNA from 1 species
GAAUGCUUGAAACUUAAACCUGAUGAAAACUCAAAAUUAAUUUCAUAUGAUUGCAUCAGAAUUACUUCCAGGAGAAUCAAAGAAGAUCGAAAUCGACUGGAAAAAAGUUCAUCCUUAAACAAACGAAGAAAUACUCCCAUUUGGCAAACUUCCAGAACCAGAAAAACAUGAGGACUUGAAACUACGAUUGACUUCAUGUGUCCUUAGUAGCUUGUUGUUUG